rnacentral:miRNA from 1 species
AUUUGGAGUGCAGAGUGGCCU